AGAAUCAACGCUGGCGGCGUGCCUCAGACAUGCAAGUCGAACGCGAAAGUCCCCUUCGGGGGGCAAGUAGAGUGGCGCACGGGUGAGUAACACGUAGGUAAUCUACCUUCGGGUGGGGAAUAACAACCGGAAACGGUUGCUAAUACCGCAUAAUGCAGCGGCACCUAAUGGUGACAGUUGUUAAAGGCGGGGGAUCGCAAGAUCUCGCGCCUGAAGAGGACGCCUGCGGCGGAUUAGCUAGGUUGGUAGGGUAACGGCCUACCGAGGCGACGAUCC
rnacentral:rRNA from 1 species